rnacentral:rRNA from 1 species
GAGCACGUAGGUGGGUUUGUAAGUCAGAUGUGAAAGCCUUCUGUUCAACGGAAGAAUUGCAUCUGAAACUGCUAAUCUUGAGUAUAGGAGGGGAGAAUGGAACUUCUGGUGGAGCGGUGAAAUGCGUAGAUAUCGGAAGGAACGCCGGCGGCGAAAGCGAUUCUCUGGCCUAUUACUGACACUCAGUGUGCGAAAGCUAGGGGAGCAAACGGGAUUAGAUACCCCGGUAGUCCUAGCCGUAAACGAUGGGCACUAAGUAGAGGGGUUUU